rnacentral:rRNA from 1 species
AGUGAACGCUGGCGGUAGGCCUAACGCAUGCAAGUCGAACGGCAGCACAGUAAGAGCUUGCUCUUACGGGUGGCGAGUGGCGGACGGGUGAGGAAUACAUCGGAAUCUACUUUUUCGAGGGGGAUAACGUAGGGAAACUUACGCUAAUACCGCAUACGACCUACGGGUGAAAGCAGGGGAUCUUCGGACCUUGCGCGAUUGAAUGAGCCGAUGUCGGAUUAGCUAGUUGGCGGGGUAAAGGCCCACCAAGGCGACGAUCCGUAGCUGGUCUGAGAGGAUGAUCAGCCACACUGGAACUGAGACACGGUCCAGACUCCUACGGGAGGCAGCAGUGGGGAAUAUUGGACAAUGGGCGCAAGCCUGAUCCAGCCAUACCGCGUGGGUGAAGAAGGCCUUCGGGUUGUAAAGCCCUUUUGUUGGGAAAGAAAAGCAGCAGGUUAAUACCCCGCUGUUCUGACGGUACCCAAAGAAUAAGCACCGGCUAACUUCGUG